UAGGGAAUCUUCCACAAUGGACGCAAGUCUGAUGGAGCAACGCCGCGUGAGUGAAGAAGGCUUUCGGGUCGUAAAACUCUGUUAUUGAAGAAGAACGUGUGUGACAGUAACUGGUCAUGCAGUGACGGUAUUCAAUCAGAAAGUCACGGCUAACUACGUGCCAGCAGCCGCGGUAAUACGUAGGUGGCAAGCGUUGUCCGGAUUUAUUGGGCGUAAAGCGAGUGCAGGCGGUCUUUUAAGUCUGAUGUGAAAGCCUUCGGCUUAACCGAAGAAGGGCAUCGGAAACUGGGAGACUUGAGUGCAGAAGAGGAGAGUGGAACUCCAUGUGUAGCGGUGAAAUGCGUAGAUAUAUGGAAGAACACCAGUGGCGAAGGCGGCUCUCUGGUCUGUAACUGACGCUGAGGCUCGAAAGCGUGGGUAGCAAACAGGAUUAGAUACCCUGGUAGUCCACGCCGUAAAC
rnacentral:rRNA from 1 species